rnacentral:lncRNA from 1 species
UCCAGAUGCAAGAGAGUGUUUGAAAGGAUGACGCUGGCCCUAACCUGGGGCAGAGGUUCUCCCUGUUGCAAAGUCAGAGGGAGAAUCUUGUGAGUUGGACACAUCAAUGUAUUGAGUCUCUUUUGCAGCAUGGGGAAUCCACCCGGCAGAAAAUACACCUGUGUGAGCUAAGAAAUAGACUCCAGGACAUCCUCUCUGGCUCUGUGAGAUUCAGGGUCACAUUGAGCUGCCCUAGUUUCCAUCUGCAGAAGGCAGAUUAGGUGAACGACACCCAGCUCUACCACAGAACACUGGCAAAAAAAAAUCGAUUAGGUUUAAGGGGGUUCUGUGUGCUCUGAUGUUGAAGGAUUCCAUGGGCUAAAGCUCCACCUGGGAACUGGACUUGACCCAUCAAGCACUAUCUGCAAGCCCUGCCCAGGUGACAGGGCUGGUGACCCCUGCCGCUGCAUCGACCUCUGCAGUUCUAAGGGGAAACGGACCAGCCAAGUACUUCUCAGUGAAGUAAAAACGAGUCUUGGGCAGGGGUUACCCUGCUAGAGAGUAGGCAGGAAGGGAGGGUCCUCUCUAGCUCUGGGGACUCCACAGCUAGGAUUGGAAAAUGAGAUUCCAGAACCAGACAGCCUUCCCUCUCUGGGUGCCAGCAGCGAGCGUCUGUUCCUGAAGCAGUGAUAUGGCCCUCGGCACAGUCAAGAAUUGUGCCAUUUGGGAGGCAGGAAAUCGUUUCCAGGAGAAAGUGCCCCAUGCAGAUGGCUAAGCAUCUGGCCCUGGGGAAUCUGCAAAUGCUGAAAACGUCAGGAUUUAAAAGAAACCCAGACUUGUUCCCUUUUCCUAAUUGCUUCCAACCCUUCCCUGAGCCUUUUCUCCCUUAGAGACAAUGGAAUGGGCUAGAAUGUGCUCAAGGGUGCAGAAUGCUGGGCAGGAAUCUUAGGGAUGAACCGCAGAGAGGUGAUGGGGUGGGGAGAAUUUCCCAGUUAUUUCCAAACCAGUGGGAAGUUCCAACUGGGAACAUAUUCCCCAGGGCACUGAACUAUUAAAAUAGGGCACCGACUUAAAUGGUGCAUGGACCAAUCAGAAUUGACCACAGACCACACAGACUGGAGCAGGGGCCAAUCAAGAUGAAAGAUUUGCCAAUCAGGAUGGAGCAUACCUCAGUGAGAAUGGAUCAGGAACCACAAAGAAUGGAUCAUGAUCUAAUCAGGAUGGAGCAUGGGCCAAUCACAAUGGAGCACCGUCCAAUCAGGCUGGAGCAUUUUUCAGUCAGAAUGGAGCACGGGCCAAUCACAAUGGACACCUGUCUAAAGACCCAGCACGGACGGAGCAGUGUGUCCAGCUGAGUGUCUCUCCUGGUGCUGCACUCAUCAGGCCCCUCCCUAUCUUAUCCCACCGCCCCAGGCCGUGGGUCAGGAGACAGAGGUGCCUGGAGGAGCCAAGAGCAAGCCCCACUUCUGCCUGUGCAACGAGACACCCACCCUGAGAGAGGACUGUGGGGGGCAGAAGGACAGGAGCCCAGGGAUGUGCUGUGUCUGUCUGUCCGGCUGUCUGUGCAGGAGCCCGGAGACCUCAGGCUUCCAAGCUAGCAUUUGUGCUCCUCAGAUCUGGGGUCGACUCCAGGACAAGCUGAUACUUACAGACACAGAAGGCGAUUUAAACCUGUCCCCAGGAGCUGACAGUGUAGUCUGGGGUGAAUUCAUUUGUAAGAGUCUGUUGACAUUCAUUGUAAAAGAUGAGUACUUCUCACUGGUCCUCACAUGUCUCAUCCCUGAAACGGAGGGGGAGAACAUCAUUUUAAUUGCCAUACAGUAUGUGUUUCCUGAAGACUUAAUGGCUGCUUUGCAGUUUACCAUGGAGGGGUAGAUUUAUAGCACUGUCUGCGGGUCCUUGCCUGUGCUGGGCUCAUUGUCAGGUUGUGGGUAAAAUGGAGAGGGUCUAGGGGGCGCGCCUUUGCCACCCAGGCAUCUCCAGAGCUGACUUGUGGCUCAGGGCCAGAGGCAGGCCAAGGACAGUUCAACCAGCGAUCAGAGCCCAGGCCUUCCAGGCAGGUCCAACUCCCAGUGCUGACCCUGACAGCUGUGCUGUGUGAUCCCGGAGCUAUCCUCACCACUGAGCACGGUUCCCUUCUCUGUAAAGCAGGGAAAUUGAUGCUCUCCCAGGGACACCACUCGGCAGCCAUUCCCCCAGUGCCUGGGACAGCCCCCUGAGGAUCAC